ACAGUGGACAUACUGAUGUUAUGAAUGAAUUAACCAAGGAACAUAAUCCUUCAUUGCCAACUGAGAGCAAAUCCUUGAAGGACCCUAAGUACUGGGAUAUAUCCAUCUCCUGGGAUUUAUGCUGUUUUGGCAUUUAGGAAACAUUUAAUUCAAACUGAAAUCUUGCUCUCCAUCUGGUAAACAAAAGAUAUCCAUGCAGAUCCACGCUCUCUGGUGCUCUCUGAAAACCUGGUGCUUAACAGAUAACUGCAUUGUGCAGCAGUUCCAGCUACUGCAUUGAGAUGGC
rnacentral:lncRNA from 1 species